CUGGCCAUUCCAGUUGGCACAGGGACUGGAGUCUUUUGCAAGAAAAUUUUACCCCAUAUUCAUCGUCUUGUUCUGGAGAAAAAGCCAAUUUAAAAUUAGUGAGAAAGCAGUCAAGCAGAGUGGACCUGGUAGAACAGGUUCCCCCAUUACUCUGCUCCUGAUGAGGAUUGGAAAGAAAAAAAAAAUGUAAAAUCAGACACACAACAGACACAACACUAACAUAUAAAAGACAAGAUGAACGGGUGCCAUUACAAAAUGAAACUAAAUCUUCCCUUGUUCCUUGUCAGGAACCUCGGGGUCAGGGGAGGCUUCCUGGCUCGUCAGCCACCUCACUCCUGACUUAACAAAUGGUUGCAACCGGCCAAAAGCUUACCUCCGGAGGUUUUCUGAAGUCUGUACCCAAGAGUCUCCUGCUGGAUCCCACCACGGAGUCUUGGCCGAACCGGGGGUUCCUACCCGGGGAUCUCACUGGGGCCUCCAAAAUUCUGGCAAUAAGAAAAAGACAAUCACUAAAGCAGAACAACUGAAGCAGCUACAAGAGGAAGAGGAGAAACGACUGAGAGAGGAAGAGGAAGCCCGUUUGAAAUUUGAGAAAGAAGAACUGGAAAGGCUUGAAAAACAGCGGAUUGAGAAAGAAAAAUGGCAACAACUUGAAAAAAAAGUACAUAAACCUUAGUAAUGUUCUCAAGGAAAACUUAAGAAAAUGUGGCUAUCACAUGUGUUGCCGUCCAUUGUUCUCACCUCAUAGCUACCAGUGGAGUUUAGUCCUAUGUGGACUGGUUUGACUGAAUA
rnacentral:lncRNA from 1 species